rnacentral:rRNA from 1 species
UACGUAGGGACCGAGCGUUGUCCGGAAUCAUUGGGCGUAAAGAGCGUGUAGGCGGCCAACUAAGUCCUGCGUGAAAUCUCGGGGCUCAACCCCGAGCGGUCGUGGGAAACUGGUUGGCUAGAGUGCGGGAGAGGAGAGUGGAAUUCCUGGUGUAGCGGUGAAAUGCGCAGAUAUCAGGAAGAACACCCGUGGCGAAGGCGGCUCACUGGACCACAACUGACGCUGAGGCGCGAAAGCUAGGGGAGCAAACAGG